rnacentral:rRNA from 1 species
AUUGAACGCUGGCGGCAUGCCUUACACAUGCAAGUCGAACGGCAGCACGGGUGCUUGCCCCUGGUUGCGAGUGGCGAACGGGUGAGUAAUACAUCAGAAUAUGUCCUGUAGGGGGAUAUCGCCCGGCGAAAGCCGGUUUAAUACCGCAUGCGAUCUGCGGGUGAAAGCGGGGGCCUUGCGCCCCUCGCUCUAUGGUGAUCGCCGAGGGCGGAUUAGCUAGUUGGUGGGGUAAAGGCCUACCAAGGCGACGAUCAGUAUCUGGUCUGAGAGGAUGACCAGCCACACUGGAACUGAGACACGGCCCAGACUCCUACGGGAGGCAGCAGUGGGGAAUUUUGGACAAUGGGCGAAAGCCUGAUCCAGCAAUGCCGCGUGUGUGAAGAAGGCCUUCGGGUUGUAAAGCACUUUAGGCCGGGAAGAAAGCCUUGGACCUAAUACGGUGGGGGGAUGACGGUACCGGAAGAAUAAGCACCGGCUAACUACGUG